rnacentral:Y_RNA from 1 species
GUGACGAAUGCCGGUUGAAACUACAGAUCAUUCAUCUCCAGGUCGCGGGUUCGAAUCCCGUCGGGUUCUUGAAUAUUCAUGGACCCGUAGCUCAGCGGUAGAGCAGGACGUUUCACCAACUCUCGUCGUCACGGA